rnacentral:rRNA from 1 species
AACGUAGGACACAAGCGUUAUCCGGAUUCACUGGGUUUAAAGGGUGCGUAGGUGGGCAGGUAAGUCCGUGGUGAAAUCUCUGAGCUUAACUCAGAAACUGCCGUGGAUACUAUUUGUCUUGAAUAUUGUGGAGGUGAGCGGAAUAUGUCAUGUAGCGGUGAAAUGCUUAGAUAUGACAUAGAACACCAAUUGCGAAGGCAGCUCACUACACAAUUAUUGACGCUGAGGCACGAAAGCGUGGGGAUCAAACAGG